UACGUAGGGUGCGAGCGUUGUCCGGAAUUAUUGGGCGUAAAGAGCUCGUAGGCGGCUUGUCGCGUCGGAUGUGAAAGCCCGGGGCUUAACUCCGGGUCUGCAUUCGAUACGGGCAGGCUAGAGUUCGGUAGGGGAGAUCGGAAUUCCUGGUGUAGCGGUGAAAUGCGCAGAUAUCAGGAGGAACACCGGUGGCGAAGGCGGAUCUCUGGGCCGAUAUUGACGCUGAGGAGCGAAAGCGUGGGGAGCGAACAGG
rnacentral:rRNA from 1 species